UAUGCGUGUGUGUGCGCGUGUGUGUGCGCGUGUGUGUGUUGCUGACAGAAUAAAACCAAGCCUUGUCUAUACACUACAGUCAGACAGACAGUCAGUCAGGUAGACAGACAGGUUCCUCCAAACUCCUCAGUCUGCAAUAAGUUACUUCCUCUCUUUCUUAUUUUCUUUCCUCCAGCGGGACAGCGGGAGUUCCGCAGCUCUGAGGCCGCCUCAGAACGCUCCCUGCUCGGCCGGAUCUGGCGCCAGGCCCCGCUGCCCCCGCUGGAGGAAGCCCGGAGGCGAACGAACAGGGAAACUGGAACGGGCGGGUCUUCAAGGGGCGCCAUGUUGUGUCCGCCCGUCGUGGAUCGUCCCGAAAGAACCGGACCGGAUCACACCAGACUGGACCCGGUUUCACCGGAUCAAAACCAGACUAGGACCGCAGGGACCGGACUGAACAGAGUGAUCAGAGUACAGUGUACAGUAUACUUUUGUGUUACACACACACACACACACACACACGCACACACGCACACACGCGCACACACACACACACACCAUUGAUCCGGUCUGAUCUGGUUAGGUCCGACCCGGUUGGACCUGGUCCAAUAAUUUCUCCCCUCUUCCCUUCAGGGGAGUGACGGGAGCGAGGGCGGGGCUAUUGAAUCAGGGGACACAAAGAAAGCUGAUUGGUCCACAAAUGGUAAAACCCCACCCCCCUUCAUCUCAUUCCCCCCCCCUACCCAUCUUAAGCAUCCUAUUGGUUGCCUACAUCUCGCAAAAAAACUAAACAGAGCGAGCCUUUCUCCCAUUGGUCACCACAGCCUCAGGCAAUAAAAGGCCGAUUUCCCAUUGGUCAGUUUUGAUAACACGCCAACUGUCAGUCACUCAGCAGCGGCCAAUCAGGUCACAGAACAGUACUCGUGGAACUUUCUGGAAUAAGAAAAAGAAGAAAAAAAAGAACAAUGAUGAUGAAUACGGAGAUCUGCCAAUCAGACGGCCUCACGAGUAAAAACAAACAGGAAGUGGGAGGAGCUUCCAAGCCCCAUAUGGAACUUAUUUUUCUGGAUUUUGUUGUUUGUUGUUGUUUUUGUUCUCUGAUUUUGUCCGUGUGAGUUUCGUACUUUCUUUCUCCAACAGCUGAUUUCAGUGCAAUGCAUCAUGGAACGAUCGAUCGCUAGGAGAGGGUGUGUCACUACAUGUGUGUGUGCGUGUGUGUGUGGUGUGUGUGUGUCCUGUUGUCAUGGAAACAUGCUGCAGGGUUAGCGCUCCAGCAGCAGAGGGGGGGGGGUUGGGAGUUUGGGUUUUUUGGGGGAGGUUGGUGCUGUGUUGCAUCAUGGGCAAUGUGUUUGUCCGUCUCUCUCUUAGCUGGUGUCCAUGGACUCCAUGUUGGCGGAGCUGGAGUCCCUCUGGAUGGAGUCAAAGAUGGCCGCCAGCUCCUGAUUGGACGAGAUCUGCGACUGGAACUCCGACAUCAGCGGCGACUUCUCGGCCUCGGGGAUCGUCAGCAGCGCCACGACGGCGCGCAUCGCCGACCGCUUCAGCUCGUCCUGCUUCUCGAACUCCUGCUUCACGGAGUUGGCCUUCACCUGCAGAGACAAUGAUGAGGUGGCUCUCAGCGGCUCCACCAGUCUGUCCAGUCUCUGGAGGACAGCACUGGGACACAGAGACGACAGUCUGGCCAACAUCAGGAACGUCAGCAU